rnacentral:rRNA from 1 species
UACGGAGGGUGCAAGCGUUAUCCGGAUUUACUGGGUUUAAAGGGUGUGUAGGCGGGCUUUUAAGUCAGUGGUGAAAUCUCCGGGCUCAACCUGGAAACUGCCAUUGAUACUAUUAGUCUUGAAUUUUGUUGAGGUAGGCGGAAUAAGUCAUGUAGCGGUGAAAUGCAUAGAUAUGACAUAGAACACCAAUUGCGAAGGCAGCUUACUACACAACGAUUGACGCUGAGGCACGAAAGCGUGGGGAUCAAACAGG